rnacentral:tRNA from 2 species
AGCUUAGCUCAGCUGGUUCAGAGCACUCCGAUACAUCGGAGGGGUCACUGGUUCGAACCCAGUAGUUCCCA